rnacentral:rRNA from 1 species
UUGAACGCUGGCGGCAUGCUUUACACAUGCAAGUCGAACGGCAGCGCGGGCUUCGGCCUGGCGGCGAGUGGCGAACGGGUGAGUAAUACAUCGGAACGUGCCCAGUAGUGGGGGAUAGCUCGGCGAAAGCCGGAUUAAUACCGCAUACGACCUGAGGGUGAAAGCGGGGGAUCUUCGGGCCUCGCGCUAUUGGAGCGGCCGAUGGCAGAUUAGCUAGUUGGUGGGGUAAAGGCCUACCAAGGCGACGAUCUGUAGCUGGUCUGAGAGGACGACCAGCCACACUGGGACUGAGACACGGCCCAGACUCCUACGGGAGGCAGCAGUGGGGAAUUUUGGACAAUGGGCGAAAGCCUGAUCCAGCAAUGCCGCGUGUGUGAUGAAGGCCUUCGGGUUGUAAAGCACUUUUGGCGGGAACGAAAAGGACUGUGCCAAUACCACGGUUCGAUGACGGUACCCGCAGAAUAAGCACCGGCUAACUACGUG